AGCAGCCGCGGUAAUUCCAGCUCCAAUAGCGUAUAUUAAAGUUGUUGCAGUUAAAAAGCUCGUAGUUGAAUUUCGGGGUUAGUAGGUUGGUCAUGCCUCCGGUAUGUACUGAUCUCACUGAUUCCUCCUUCCUUAUGAACCGUAAUGCCAUUAAUUUGGUGUUGCGGGGAAUUUGGACUGUUACUUUGAAAAAUUAGAGUGUUUAAAGCAGGCUAACGCUUGAAUACAUUAGCAUGGAAUAAUGAAAAUAGGACGUUCGAUCUUAUUUUGUUGGUUUCUAGGAUUGACGUAAUGAUUAAUAGGGAUAGUUGGGGGCAUUAGUAUUCAAUUGUCAGAGGUGAAAUUCUUGGAUUUAUUGAAGACUAACUACUGCGAAAGCAUUUGCCAAGGAUGUUUUCAUUAAUCAAGAACGAAAGUUAGGGGAUCGAAGACGAUCAGAUACCGUCGUAGUCUUAACCAUAAACUAUGCCGACUAGGGAUCGGAUGAUGUUAAUUUUUUAANGACUCAUUCGGCGCCUUA
rnacentral:rRNA from 1 species